AAGAGAGAAGAGCUUGGAAAGAGGAGGCAGGAGAGGGAGCAGGCAGAGGGCACUGUGUGGAGUAAUGGAAAUCGCCUGGGGUCCCCACCCUGCAUCUGGGACAACUCAUUAGUAAGAAACACUCACCUGGCCCAACCAAGAGCAGCUGGUGGCAUCUUGUGUUAGCAGAGACACUAACUCUCUGCCCUCCUCCCCAGACCAGCACCACACCCUCUAUUGCUGCUUCAGUAAAUAGGCCCUGCUCAGUGGCUUAAAUGACAGACAUGUUGUUUUCCAGCCAGGCCCAGACCAAGCUCCAGGAACUCUGCUUGGGACCUGCCCACAGCUUCUAGGGCUCAAACUUCAGGCCUUUCUACCCUUGGUUCCUCAGACAUCUUUAAGUACAACCUCAGGAGCGAGCAUCUUUCUUCUCGAGCUGGAAGCUGCGGGGGAGUGUUUGACUGGAGGGGCUGGGACGCAUGCUUCUGAAGGAGGACCCUGGCCGUGUCUGAAUAGAUCGGAAGGACUCGAGAGCUGGAGUGUCGGGACUGGAGAGAUACCUCACGGGCAAAAUGUAAUGCGGCCCUUACCGAAGUCUGAGUUGAUGGUAGAAUAGCCAACGAUGUUGGAGACCAUGAGCUCUGCCUUCGGAGAGUCUUAUAAGCCACCCCAGACACAAGCCUCCAUGUUCACACUUGCCAAUAGAUGCAGCCCACACUCAGUUCAUUGCAUUCUUCUGUGUCAAAGACUG
rnacentral:lncRNA from 1 species